rnacentral:rRNA from 1 species
AUGGCCGUGUCAGUUCGUACUGUGAAGCAUCCUGUUAAGUCAGGCAACGAGCGAGACCCACGCCCACAGUUGCCAGCGUACUCUCUGGAGUGACGGGUACACUGGUGGGGACCGCCGCUGCUAAAGCGGAGGAAGGAAUGGGCAACGGUAGGUCAGUAUGCCCCGAAUAUCCCGGGCUACACGCGAGCUACAAUGGUUGGUACAAUGGGUAUCUACCCCGAAAGGGGACGGGAAUCUCCUAAAACCAAUCUUAGUUCGGAUUGAGGGCUGCAACUCGCCCUCAUGAAGCUGGAAUCCGUAGUAAUCGCGUUUCAACAGAACGCGGUGAAUACGUCCCUGCUCCUU